GACGUAGGGGGCAAGCGUUGUCCGGAAUCAUUGGGCGUAAAGCGCUCGUAGGUGGAUCGGUAAGUCUGCAAAGAAAGACCCGGGCUCAACUCGGGGAACGGUGUGGAUACUACCGAUCUUGAGGCAAUCAGAGGAUGAUGGAAUUCCCGGUGUAGCGGUGAAAUGCGCAGAUAUCAGGAGGAACACCGGUGGCGAAGGCGGUUCUCUGGGCCUUACCUGACGCUGAGGAGCGAAAGCGUGGGGAGCAAACAGG
rnacentral:rRNA from 1 species